AUUCCCUUAGUACAGUCAGUAUAAGUGACUUCCAAUCACUCAGCCUUGGUUCAACCCCAAGAGGGAAUA
rnacentral:tRNA from 1 species